GAUGAAGAACGUAGCGAAAUGCGAUACUUGGUGUGAAUUGCAGAAUCCCGUGAACCAUCGAGUCUUUGAACGCAAGUUGCGCCCGAAGCCAUUAGGCCGAGGGCACGCCUGCCUGGGCGUCACACGUCGUUGCCCCCCCAUCUACUCCUUCGGGAUUGCGGGGGGCGGAUGAUGGCCUCUCGUGCGCCUCGUCGCGCGGUUGGCCUAAAUGCCAAGUCCUCGGCGACGCACGCCACGACAAUCGGUGGUUGCGAAACCUCGGUUGACUGUCGUGUGCGGUCGUCGCGCAUCGAGGGCUCGAAAAAAUUGCCGGGCUUCGGCUAGACUUUCAACGCGACCCCAGGUCAGGCGGGGUUACCCGCUGAAUUUAAGCAUAUCAAUAAGCGGAGGA
rnacentral:misc_RNA from 1 species